rnacentral:rRNA from 1 species
UACGUAGGGUGCAAGCGUUAAUCGGAAUUACUGGGCGUAAAGCGUGCGUAGACGGUUGCGUAAGUCAGAUGUGAAAGCCCCGGGCUCAACCUGGGAAUUGCAUUUGAGACUGCGUAGCUAGGGUGCGGAAGAGGGAAGCGGAAUUUCCGGUGUAGCGGUGAAAUGCGCAGAUAUCGGGAGGAACACCUAUGGCGAAGGCAGCCCGCUGGGACGUUACUGACGCUGAGACGCGAAAGCGUGGGGAGCAAACAGG